GGAGACGUGGCCGAGUGGCUGAAGGCGGCGGUUUGCUAAACCGUUAUACGUGGUAACACGUAUCAGGGGUUCGAAUCCCCUCGUCUCCGCCA
rnacentral:tRNA from 2 species